GAGCUUCUGUCAGGCUAGGGACAGGAAGGGGCUACAGGGGGAAAGCGUCUGCAGUGACUCCCGUACAGGAGGGAGGUUUGUUAGAGAUUACAGGGCCUGCCAAGAAGCCAAAGGGAGAAAUAGCCACAGGGAGUAGAGGAAGCUCAGCUGGGUAGUAAACCCAGAGGCGGCAGAGGUUUGAAAGAGGAAGCUGCAGAAAGCCCCAGGAAGUAGCAACCAGGGCUGGGUGCAAGUAGACCAUAGGUCUGUGGUCUCAAACCUGGGGUAGAGGGCAGAGCUGGGUUUCCCCUACUAGCCCUGGGAAGUGGUACAGCCUUGGCCAUAAAACACAGGCCUGCCUGGAACAGCAGCUUGUCCAGAGAGACCUUGAUAGACCCCUGGAAGGGGAGAACUAAAGUGACAUGGGCUGAGUCACAAAGACCACGCAGAGUCCUGGAGGGUGCGAUUGAGACAACAGGUGACUGCGGAAGGGGCUUCUAACCAUGGUGACCUAAUUCCCAGAUGGGCUGCUAGAAGGCGUGCAAGUGGGAGCCAGAUUCAUCCCAGAUGUAACUCCAUCAUUGACAUCAGUAGCCGUACAACAGAUUCAAAGUUAGCUGGUAAAUUGGAGAGUAUGACCCAAGAAUAACUAAACCAAGUUGUAAAAUUAAUUCCAACUGAAUAAUCAAGUCACCUGCAACUUGUUUACCAUCAAGUGCCCAGAACAACAUCAUACUCGACAAAGCUGAGACUCAUCAGUGAAUUCUCAUAAAGGGUAUUUGGAAGUUUAGCGCCAAAAUCUUCAACUGGUGUAAAUUGCUGAAGUCAUACAGGACACAGAGUGGGAACAUCUACGACUACAACUGCACUCAAUGGGAGCAGUGAAUACUCAGCACAUCUAAAAUUCAGAUCACUUGUACAACACCUAUUUAACACCACAGAUUAACGGGCACUUGGGUCUAACUCUAGUCUAUACCUAUCCCUGUAUUGCUAUAUGGGCAAACCCUUUAGUGUAGGUGCAGCUUAUAUGGGCAAAAGGGUGCUUUGCUACCAACUGUCUCUACCAUGGGGCUUUUGCAUUUAAAAAAAAAUUGCUCUCCAACUGACAUUUUACUGGCAAACGUUUCUAGGGUAGACCUUGCCUUAGUUAAAGACUCAGCACACUCCUCCUUCCCACACACCCUAUUCACAAGUAAGAAUUCCCAUACAUAUAGAAGACCCCCCAAGAAGUCCUCCAGGAAAAAAAACAUUCCUAAGGUAACAGAGAAAAAAAUCAGAGCUCUUCUAUUCUCUCCCCCCGCCCCCCUUAAAGUAGCCUUCUUUCUACAUGAUGAAGACUCAAAGGAAAGCUCAAGCUCAGUUUAAAUAACCUCUGCAGGUCCCCUUGUAAUGAACAGACUAAAUUACCCUUAGGAUUUCUCUGGCUUGGCUGCUCAUGGCUAUGCGAGGAGAUAAAGCCUCAAUCAAAAACACUUCAGGUUAUUUGCUGACUUCUGGCAGCAGGAUAUUCAUAAGCCUUUCGGCAUGAACGGUCAGUGGAUCAGCUGUCACAAACCUUGCUUCUCAAACUCUUCAAAAAGGUUCAGGCUGGUAAUGCUAGGGCCAGUGAAGAUGAUGUAGUUUUUUCCUGAUGCAUUCUGACAAAGGCUCUUGGCCACCAUACUGUGGAGUUGGGGCUUGUUCUUCAAAGCAUCCAGUCCGUCGGCACCACCUCCUUCUUUUAGAUGGACGUAAAUCUUAAGGAGCAAGUAGAAACAAGACGACAAGUCAAUGUGGUUAGAACGGAUCAGGCACGAGCCAUGCAGUUGCCAAACCCCUUGCUCGGCUUUCACUAGAGAUGAGCUGAAAAAUUUAAGGCAGUAGAUACCUGUUUCAGAUUUAACCCCUAAUACACCUUUUAUGACUGGUGCCUUUAAAUGACUUUGGAAUAGU